GAAAUGGGAGGAGAAAUAAAGCGCGGGACCGUAGACAGCCGUUGGACGGCGCGUGAGAAAAGGAGGCGGGGAAGAAGCUAAAACGAGCCUAUUUUUUUGAGGAAGGGGUUUAAAGUGCACUCUCAGUGAACCUGGUAAAUUAGAAAAGAGAAAUACAAGUAUGGCAGUAGGGAUCAGAACUGCAGAUUUCAAAUAAGAGGAAUAUCUGAGGAAGUUCUAAAGGGUGAAGGAGACAACGAAAAGGUUUAAAUAGAAAAUAGAGAUUGUGAGAUAAACAAGAGGAUUAAGCUGGAAUGAUAGAACAGAAUAACAGAGUUGGAAGGGACUGCUCAGACGGGAAACCCAAUACCAUUUCAGCCAUGGUGACCCAAUGGUUAGAAUUCAGUAUUGCAGAUUAAUUUUCCUGACUGCCGAAUGCCAGUACUUUGGAAGUUCAAGUCUCACUAGCUGAAGGUUGAUUCAACCUUCCAUCCUUCCGAGGAAUAAGCUUGGAAGUUUUGAUUGAGUGCAAGUGAAUAGAAGAACUAAAAAGAAAUCUUGAAGAAAAGAAAUGUCAGCAAGCACCUUCUUCAGAGCUGUGAUGUUCAUUAGGCUGACUGAAAGCACCUUUUCACUAAAUUUAGCACAGCAGCAAUUCUCAACAUAGUGAAUUUAAUGAAUGCUGUGGGCAGUGAAGCCAAAACUAUUUUGAAGUAAUUUUCUUCAGCAUGAGAUCCAGCCCUCCUGUAAGGCUUAAAAAUAAAGAACUUUCUCAUU